rnacentral:rRNA from 1 species
GACGAACCGUGCGAACGUUUAUUCGGAAUCACUGGGCUUAAAGCGUGUGUAGGCGGAUCGUUAAGUGCCUUGUGAAAUCCCACGGCUUAACUGUGGAACGGCUGGGCAUACUGGCGGUCUUUGAGCCAUCUAGGGGGCGACUGGAACAAACGGUGGAGCGGUGAAAUGCGUAGAUAUCGUUUUGGAACGCCAAUGGUGAAAAACAGGUCGCUGGGGGAUGAGCUGACGCUGAGACACGAAAAGCCCAGGGGGGAGCAAAACGGGG